rnacentral:rRNA from 1 species
UACGUAGGUGGCAAGCGUUAUCCGGAUUUACUGGGUGUAAAGGGAGCGUAGACGGCAGUGCAAGUCUGGAGUGAAAGGCGGGGGCUCAACCCCCGGACUGCUCUGGAAACUGUACGGCUGGAGUGCAGGAGAGGUAAGUGGAAUUCCUAGUGUAGCGGUGAAAUGCGUAGAUAUUAGGAGGAACACCAGUGGCGAAGGCGGCUUACUGGACUGUAACUGACGUUGAGGCUCGAAAGCGUGGGGAGCAAACAGG